rfam:Oryza brachyantha chromosome 3, whole genome shotgun sequence.
AAUAACUUUAUUUUUCGUUUUUCCGUGUCUAACGUUUAACCAUUUGUUUUAUUUAAAAAUUUUUGUGAUUAAAAUUUUUUAACUAGAUGAUAAAAUAUGAAUAGUACUUUAUACGUAACUAAUUUCUUUUAAUUUUUUUAUAAAUUUUUUAAAUAAGACAAAUGGUCAAACAUUAGACACGUAAAAUAAAAAAUGAGGUUAUU